UACGGAGGGAGCUAGCGUUGUUCGGAAAUACUGGGCGUAAAGCGAACGUAGGCGGUCAAGUAAGUCAGGGGUGAAAUCCCGGAGCUCAACUCCGGAACUGCCCUUGAAACUGCCUGACUAGAAUCCUGGAGAGGCGAGUGGAAUUCCGAGUGUAGAGGUGAAAUUCGUAGAUAUUCGGAAGAACACCAGUGGCGAAGGCGACUCGCUGGACAGGUAUGGACGCUGAGGUUCGAAAGCGUGGGGAGCAAACAGG
rnacentral:misc_RNA from 1 species